rnacentral:rRNA from 1 species
CCUACGGGUGGCUGCAGUGGGGAAUAUUGGACAAUGGCCGAAAGCCUGAUCCAGCCAUGCCGCGUGUGUGAAGAAGGCCUUCGGGUUGUAAAGCACUUUCAGUGGGGAAGAAAGCCUUGGGGCUAAUACCCUCGAGGAAGGACAUCACCCACAGAAGAAGCACCGGCUAACUCCGUGCCAGCAGCCGCGGUAAUACGGAGGGUGCGAGCGUUAAUCGGAAUUACUGGGCGUAAAGCGCGCGUAGGCGGUCUGAUAAGCCGGUUGUGAAAGCCCCGGGCUCAACCUGGGAACGGCAUCCGGAACUGUCAGGCUAGAGUGCAGGGGAGGAAGGUAGAAUUCCCGGUGUAGCGGUGAAAUGCGUAGAGAUCGGGAGGAAUACCAGUGGCGAAGGCGGCCUUCUGGACUGACACUGACGCUGAGGUGCGAAAGCGUGGGUAGCAAACAGGAUUAGAUACCCCAGUAGUC